rnacentral:rRNA from 1 species
GUUGACCUCGGAUCAGGUAGGAAUACCCGCUGAACUUAAGCAUAUCAAUAAGCGGAGGAAAAGAAACCAACAGGGAUUGCCCCAGUAACGGCGAGUGAAGCGGCAACAGCUCAAAUUUGAAAUCUGGCCCCAGGCCCGAGUUGUAAUUUGCAGAGGAUGCUUUUGGCGCGGUGCCUUCCGAGUUCCCUGGAACGGGACGCCAUAGAGGGUGAGAGCCCCGUACGGUUGGACACCAAGCCUUUGUAAAGCUCCUUCGACGAGUCGAGUAGUUUGGGAAUGCUGCUCUAAAUGGGAGGUACAUUUCUUCUAAAGCUAAAUAUUGGCCAGAGACCGAUAGCGCACAAGUAGAGUGAUCGAAAGAUGAAAAGCACUUUGGAAAGAGGGUUAAACAGCACGUGAAAUUGUUAAAAGGGAAGCGCUUGUGACCAGACUUGCGUCCGGUGAAUCACCCAGCUCUCGCGGCUGGGGCACUUCGCCGGCACAGGCCAGCAUCAGCUUGCCGUCGGGGACAAAAGCUUCAGGAACGUGGCUCCUCUCGGGGAGUGUUAUAGCCUGUUGCAUAAUACCCUUCGGCGGGCUGAGGUACGCGCUCCGCAAGGAUGC